AUUGAACGCUGGCGGCAGGCCUAACACAUGCAAGUCGAACGAGUGGCGGACGGGUGAGUAAUGUCUGGGAAACUGCCUGAUGGAGGGGGAUAACUACUGGAAACGGUAGCUAAUACCGCAUACCAUCAGAUGUGCCCAGAUGGGAUUAGCUUGUUGGUGGGGUAACGGCUCACCAAGGCGACGAUCCCUAGCUGGUCUGAGAGGAUGACCAGCCACACUGGAACUGAGACACGGCCCAGACUCCUACGGGAGGCAGCAGUGGGGAAUAUUGGACAAUGGGCGAAAGCCUGAUCCAGCCAUGCCGCGUGUGUGAAGAAGGUCUUCGGGUUGUAAAGCACUUUAAGUUGGGAAGCGGUACCAACAGAAUAAGCACCGGCUAACUACGUGCCAGCAGCCGCGGUAAUAC
rnacentral:rRNA from 1 species